CCACCUCACAAUGAUACAGCCCUACAUUUCUUACCAACUGACAUUUUUUGAAGGCUGGAUUUUUGUACCUCGUUCACCAUGGUAAGCCAAGGCAGAGACUUUUGGAGCAGGAAGGGGCCACAGAGAGAGUAACCUCCCAUUUAAUGAACAAAAAAAGUUUGCACAAGAGUUAAAAUGGUUGACGUAAAGUCCCACACAGUGAAUCCAAUGUGUUUUUGCCGAUUCUUCAACUGUAUACCAGAUACAAUUUAAACUAUGUCUUUAAAAAUUCUUUUGUUAUUAUUUUUGGUAUUUUUUCUAUCAUAAACUUGCUUCCUUAUUUCCACUGUGAGUAUGAAGUUGGGGAGUUAACAUUUAUAAAACAUUAUUAUUGUGUACUAAGGCAAGCUUUACUCUAAAGAGCAGAUGCUUACUUCAUACACAUGGAAAAAAUAUUUAAAAAUCUGCUUAUGUCAAGGGUUGGUGAGGAUUGGGGAAACAGGAACACAGAAACACUACUGAUUGCAGUGUAAUUUAUUGAAUUCGUUUCAAAGGCAAUUGACAUCAUAAAGCUGAAGAGACACAUUCCCCAUAAAGUUCAUUUCUAAAUAAAAAUCCUGGAGUUAUUUUUACAAUUGUGCAUAAGAG
rnacentral:lncRNA from 1 species